AUUGAACGCUGGCGGCAGGCCUAACACAUGCAAGUCGAGCGGAGCGGCGGACGGGGGAGUAAUGCCAAGGAAUCUGCCAGGUAGUGGGGGCUAACGACCGGAAACGGGCGCUAAUACCGCAUACUAUCAGAUGAGGCUAGGUCGGAUUAGCUAGUUGGUGGGGUAAAGGCAUACCAAGGCGACGAUCCGUAACUGGUCUGAGAGGAUGAUCAUUCACGCUGGAACUGAGACACUGUCUAGACUCCUACGGGAGGCAGCAGUGGGGAAUAUUGGACAAUGGGCGGAAGCCUGAUCCAGCCAUGCCGCGUGUGUGAAGAAGGUCUUCGGAUUGUAAAGCACUUUCAGUUGGGAGGCGUUACCAACAGAAUAAGCACCGGCUAACUUCGUGCCAGCCGCCGCGGUAAUAC
rnacentral:rRNA from 1 species